rnacentral:rRNA from 1 species
AUACGGAGGAUGCGAGCGUUAUCCGGAUUUAUUGGGUUUAAAGGGAGCGUAGGUGGGAUAUUAAGUCAGCUGUGAAGGUUUGGGGCUCAACCUUAAAAUUGCAGUUGAUACUGGUUUCCUUGAGUACGGUACAGGUGGGCGGAAUUCGUGGUGUAGCGGUGAAAUGCUUAGAUAUCACGAAGAACUCCGAUCGCGAAGGCAGCUCACCGGGCCGGAACUGACACUGAUGCUCGAAAGUGCGGGUAUCAAACAGGAUUAGAUACCCUGGUAGUCCGCACAGUAAACGAUGAAUACUCGCUGUUUGCGAUACACGGUAAGCGGCCAAGCGAAAGCGUUAAGUAUUCCACCUGGGGAGUACGCCGGCAACGGUGAAACUCAAAUGAAUUGACGGGG